rnacentral:rRNA from 1 species
AUCUUCGGCAAUGGGCGAAAGCCUGACCGAGCGACGCCGCGUGAGCGAUGAAGGCCAUUAGGUUGUAAAGCUCUGUCGAGGGGGAACAAGCCGCAAGGUUGAGUGAUCCCUGGAGGAAGCACGGGCUAAGUUCGUGCCAGCAGCCGCGGUAAGACGAACCGUGCGAACGUUGUUCGGAAUCAUUGGGCUUAAAGGGCGCGUAGGCGGGUGUUCAAGUCCGGGGUGAAAGCCUCCAGCUCAACUGGAGAAGAGCCCCGGAUACUGUUCACCUGGAGAGAGAUAGAGGCACAUGGAACUUCCGGUGGAGCGGUGAAAUGCGUAGAGAUCGGAAGGAACGCCGGUGGCGAAAGCGAUGUGCUGGAUCUUUUCUGACGCUGAGGCGCGAAAGCUAGGGGAGCAAACGGGAUUAGAUACCCCGGUAGUCCUAGCCCUAAACGAUGGGUACUGGGUUGCGGGUCAGACAUAGACUCGCAGCCGAAGCAAAAGUGUUAAGUACCCCGCCUGGGGAGUAUGGUCGCAAGGCUGAAACUCAAAGGAA